ensembl:lncRNA
AUGACUGUGGCCAGGUGUGGGGCACCAGCUGCAAGCCCUCAGCCCACUCAGACCUUAUUUAAGGCCCUGAGCCCUGGUGUAGGCUGUAGGAUGGUGUUGUGGUGUGGCUGGAGGUGCUCAUGCUGGUCUGGGUGUGUAUGUGUGAGCAUCGACUCCAAAAUACCUUUCAAAAACUUGGUUGGCAUGAGUUGCACAGAGCUGCAAGCCUCUCGGAUGUCAAAGUCUCUUAAAGGAGGUUAUCCAUGGAAGAACAAGAGGAGUAAUACGCAAAUGUGCAAGAAAGAUUUUUAAAGUCACUUUUAUCAAGAAAAAUGUGCAAGCGUGCAUCCCUCAAGACAUUGAAUAAGUGUCCCUAAAAAGGGAUUUACCAGGGAUGUUGGUGGUGAGAUUCUCUCUGGGGAAACUACCAUGUUCUCCCUCCUCAUAAAUGCUUUGUUUUCAUCCAUUUUACGUUCAUGUCUUCAAGUUAUGCUAUUUUCAGUCAAGGCUAUGCGUUGAUGGCAUGCUUGUCCUGGAAGGUGGCAGACCCUACUGAUCGGUGACACAGGCGGCAAAGCUGGCUUCUGCCUUCCCUGACAUCCAGAUGCAGGAGCUGAGAGAAAUACUGUGUCUCUGGAGAUGAAGGGUCCCUGCCG